rnacentral:rRNA from 1 species
AGUGAACGCUGGCGGUAGGCCUAACACAUGCAAGUCGAACGGCAGCACAGUAAGAGCUUGCUCUUACGGGUGGCGAGUGGCGGACGGGUGAGGAAUACAUCGGAAUCUACUUUUUCGUGGGGGAUAAUGUAGGGAAACUUACGCUAAUACCGCAUACGACCUACGGGUGAAAGCAGGGGAUCUUCGGACCUUGCGCGAUUGAAUGAGCCGAUGUCGGAUUAGCCAGUUGGCGGGGUAAAGGCCCACCAAGGCGACGAUCCGUAGCUGGUCUGAGAGGAUGAUCAGCCACACUGGAACUGAGACACGGUCCAGACUCCUACGGGAGGCGGCAGUGGGGAAUAUUGGACAAUGGGCGCAAGCCUGAUCCAGCCAUACCGCGUGGGUGAAGAAGGCCUUCGGGUUGUAAAGCCCUUUUGUUGGGAAAGAAAAGCAGCAGGUUAAUACCCCGCUGUUCUGACGGUACCCAAAGAAUAAGCACCGGCUAACUUCGUG